AUUGAACGCUGGCGGCAUGCCUUACACAUGCAAGUCGAACGGCAGCAUGAUCUAGCUUGCUAGAUUGAUGGCGAGUGGCGAACGGGUGAGUAAUACAUCGGAACGUGCCCUGUAGUGGGGGAUAACUAGUCGAAAGAUUAGCUAAUACCGCAUACGACCUGAGGGUGAAAGUGGGGGACCGCAAGGCCUCAUGCUAUAGGAGCGGCCGAUGUCUGAUUAGCUAGUUGGUGAGGUAAAGGCUCACCAAGGCGACGAUCAGUAGCUGGUCUGAGAGGACGAUCAGCCACACUGGGACUGAGACACGGCCCAGACUCCUACGGGAGGCAGCAGUGGGGAAUUUUGGACAAUGGGGGCAACCCUGAUCCAGCAAUGCCGCGUGUGUGAAGAAGGCCUUCGGGUUGUAAAGCACUUUUGUCCGGAAAGAAAUCGCACUUACUAAUAUUAGGUGUGGAUGACGUACCGGAAGAAUAAGG
rnacentral:rRNA from 1 species